ACUAGCAGCUAGCUCUCUGCCACUCUCACUUGGUCACACACUGAAGCUAAGCAGGGCUGCGCUCAGUCAAUAUCUGGAUGGGAGACCACAUCGGAAAGCUAGUUGCUGCCGGAA
rfam:Danio rerio chromosome 14 genomic contig CTG1748, GRCz11 reference primary assembly.